UACGGAGGGGGCUAGCGUUGUUCGGAAUUACUGGGCGUAAAGCGCGCGUAGGCGGACCUGCAAGUCGGACGUGAAAUCCCCAGGCUCAACCUGGGAACUGCGUCCGAUACUGGAUGGCUUGAAUCCGGGAGAGGGAUGCAGAAUUCCAGGUGUAGCGGUGAAAUGCGUAGAUAUCUGGAGGAAUACCGGUGGCGAAGGCGGCAUCCUGGACCGGCAUUGACGCUAAGGAGCGAAAGCGUGGGGAGCAAACAGG
rnacentral:rRNA from 1 species